UACGGGGGGGGCAAGCGUUGUUCGGAAUUACUGGGCGUAAAGGGUUCGUAGGUGGCCUGCUAAGUCAGACGUGAAAUCCCUCAGCUUAACUGGGGAACUGCGUCUGAGACUGGUGGGCUUGAGUGCAGGAGAGGAACGCGGAAUUCCAGGUGUAGCGGUGAAAUGCGUAGAUAUCUGGAGGAACACCGGUGGCGAAGGCGGCAUCCUGGACCGAAAUUGACGCUGAGGCGCGAAAGCCAGGGGAGCAAACGGG
rnacentral:rRNA from 1 species